AACGUAGGAGACAAACGUUAUCCGGAGUUACUGGGCGUAAAGGGCGUGUAGGUGGUUUCGUAAGUCUGGCGUGAAAUUUCUCGGCUUAACCGAGGCAGGUCGUCGGAUACUGCGGAACUUGAGGACGGUAGAGGGAUGCAGAAUUCCAGGUGUAGCGGUGAAAUGCGUAGAUAUCUGGAGGAAUACCUGAGGCGAAGGCGGGUUGCUAGGCUGACACUGACGCUGAGUGCGCGAAAGCCAGGGGAGCAAACGGG
rnacentral:rRNA from 1 species